rnacentral:lncRNA from 1 species
UUUAAAUAUAGUGGUUUUAACUUAAUCACUUUGGUUCUAUUUCUACAAAUCUAUAAGAUCUGUGUUUAUCAAAACUCCAACCAUUUUAGCUGAAAUGGACCAUAUGAGAAAAAGUAGACUUCCUUGGAGCUUAAAAGUUGGUUUGAUAGUGGUGGUGGCAUUGUUUGGCAGAGUGAAACCCCAAGACAAAGUUGAAGCACUUCCAAGUUCAAGUUCAAGUGGUUUACUAUGCAUAAGUGAAUGUGUCACAUGUCCAACAAUAUGUUCACCACCACCAUCACCACCAUCACCACCACCACCUUCAGUUGUAACAUCAUAUUCAAAUCGUCCUCCUCCUCCACUUCUAACUCCAUACCCUCCACCUCCACCACUUCUAACAUCAUAUCCUCCACCACCAUCAUCACCAAGGGUACCUCAUUCACCAUCUCAAUAUUUUCCACCACCUCAUAAGGCAUUGCUGCCACCUCCAGCACUAUUGCUUCCACCACCACCACCACCUUUGAAGUCCUACAACUCACAACCAUCAUCAUCAUCAUCAAGUUCAGGUUCAGGACAGCCUAAUGUAAUUGGUGGACCCCAUCAGUAUCCUUAUCCUUAUUACUAUUACUAUGCCUCAGGCUCAUGUUCUAUUUCUAUUCAUCUUAUACCCUUCUUCCUCUUACCCUUCUUCCUUCUUCAACUAUUACUAUAACAACAUGCUAUAUAUAUAUAUAUAUAUUACUAUAACAACAGAGAUCCUUGUUUGUUUAUAUCAGAGAUAUUCAUAAAACCAAAAUUAAUAAACCCCUUGUGUAAAUAAUA